GUUCCCUUCGGGGGGCGAGUAAAGCGGCGAAUGGGUGAGUAACACGUGAGUAAUCUACCCCUGGGUUUGGGAUAACCUACCGAAAGGUGGGCUAAUACCAGAUAACAUCCGCCGGGACCGCCGGUGGAUCAAAGGCUGCCUCUGCUUGCAAGUAGUCGCCUGAGGAUGAGCUCGCGCACCAUUAGCUUGUUGGUGGGGUAACGGCCUACCAAGGCUGCGAUGGUUAGCUGGUCUGAGAGGAUGACCAGUCACACCGGAAUUGAGAUACGGUCCGGACUCCUACGGGAGGCAGCAGUGAGGAAUAUUGCGCAAUGGGCGAAAGCUUGACGCAGCAACGCCGCGUGGAGGAUGAAGGCCUUCGGGUCGUAAACUUCUUUCGACCGGAAAGAAAACCCGCCGGAUGAAUAAGCCGGCGGACUGACGGUACCGGUAUAAGAAGCCCCGGCUAACUCUGUGCCAGCAGCCGCGGUAAUACAGAGGGGGCAAGCGUUGUUCGGAAUUAUUGGGCGUAAAGGGAGCGUAGGCGGCCGGAUAAGUCAGUGGUGAAAGCCCAGGGCUCAACCCUGGAAGUGCCUUUGAUACUGUUCGGCUUGAGUAC
rnacentral:rRNA from 1 species